rnacentral:rRNA from 1 species
GAUGAACGCUGGCGGCGUGCCUAAUACAUGCAAGUCGAGCGAAUGGAUUAAGAGCUUGCUCUUAUGAAGUUAGCGGCGGACGGGCGAGUAACACGUGGGUAACCUGCCCAUAAGACUGGGAUAACUCGGGGAAACCGGGGCUAAUCUCGGAUAACAUUUUGAACCGCAUGGUACGAAAUCGAAAGGAGGCUUCGGCUGUCACUUAUGGAUGGACCCGGGGCGCAUUAGCUAGUUGGUGAGGUACCGGCUCAUCAAGGCAACGAUGCGAAGCCGACCUGAGGGGGUGAUCGGCCACACUGGGACUGAGACACGGCCCAGACUCCUACGGGAGGCAGCAGUAGGGAAUCUUCCGCAAUGGACGAAAGUCUGACGGAGCAACGCCGCGUUAGUGAUGAAGGCUUUCGGGUCGUAAAACUCUGUUGUUAGGGAAGAACAAGUGCUAGUUGAAUAAGCUGGCACCUUGACGGUACCUAACCAGAAAGCCACGGCUAACUACGUGCCAGCAGCCGCGGUAA